rnacentral:snRNA from 1 species
UUUUAUUUUGCAUUAAGAAUCCUCUAAAUUGGAACGGUAGAAGAUUAUAUUGGCCCCUGUUCAAGGGUGACACAUAAAUUCACAAAACUUUGCAUAUUUUU